rnacentral:rRNA from 1 species
AGGUCUCAAGCGUUGUUCGGAUUCAUUGGGCGUAAAGGGUGCGUAGGCGGCGCGGUAAGUCGGGUGUGAAAUCUUGGAGCUUAACUCCGAAACUGCAUUCGAUACUGCCGUGCUUGAGGACUGGAGAGGAGACUGGAAUUUACGGUGUAGCGGUGAAAUGCGUAGAUAUCGUAAGGAAGACCAGUGGCGAAGGCGGGUCUCUGGACAGUUCCUGACGCUGAGGCACGAAGGCCAGGGGAGCAAACGGG